GAUACCCUAUUAUUUUUAAUGUAUAAAUGAACCUGGAUUAUUAAUAGUUAUGGUCUUUAAAAUUAAAGGAUUUGGCGGUAUUUUAGUCUGUUCAGAGGAACCUGUUUUUUAAUUGAUGGUCCACGAUAAUAUUUACUUUUUCUUUAAAUUUAUAUAUCGUUGUUUAUAAAAAUUUUAGGAGAACAAUAAUUUUUAAUUUUUUUAAUAAAAGUUUAUUUCAGAUCAAGGUGUAGUUUAUGAAAAAGUUAGAAUGGGUUACAUUACGGUUAUGUUUGGUUUUUGAAUUUUAAAUUUAAGAUAAAUUGGAUUUGAUAGUAAGUUCUUUAUUUUUGGGAAUUGAUUUAGCUCUAAAAUAUGCACACAUCGCC
rnacentral:rRNA from 1 species